AGGGUCCUCUCAUGAUGUAAAACACGUUUUCCCCCAAUCGUGAAUCCAUGGGCAGCUGAAGGUCGAGAGAGUCGGUGUUCAACACCCAGAUUCCUUUGCUUGUUAUGGAGUAUGAGCCACCAAGGACCAGACCUUUUAAAACUGUAGAAUCAUCAUUCUGGGUAGUUGAUGUGGCUGGCGCUGGCUUUAAUUUCUCACGCAGAGCUUGGUAGCUUGAUCAGAUUCUAGAAGAUGAGUUGGUUGUAAAUCUUGAUCAGUAUAUGGAUUUCUGUAACUCAUGCUGCUUGGUUCAUGGUCCCUUCCCAACAGGAAAUGAGAGGUAUGGCCUU